rnacentral:rRNA from 1 species
GUGUCAGCAGCCGCGGUAAGACGAAGGUGGCAAGCGUUGUUCGGAAUUACUGGGCAUAAAGCGCGCGUAGGCGGCGACGUAAGCGGGGGAUGAAAUCCCAUGGCUCACCCAUGGAAGUGUCUUCUGUACUGCGUUGCUUGAGGUCGGUAGGGGAGAGUGGAAUUCCUGGUGUAGCGGUGAAAUGCGUAGAUAUCAGGAGGAACGCCGGUGGCGAAAGCGACUCUCUGGUCCGAUUCUGACGCUGAUGCGCGAAAGCUAGGGGAGCAAACAGGAUUAGAUACCCCUGUAGUCC